rnacentral:rRNA from 1 species
GACGAACGCUGGCGGCGUGCCUAAUACAUGCAAGUAGAACGCUGAAGGAGGAGCUUGCUUCUCUGGAUGAGUUGCGAACGGGUGAGUAACGCGUAGGUAACCUGCCUGGUAGCGGGGGAUAACUAUUGGAAACGAUAGCUAAUACCGCAUAAGAGUGGAUGUUGCAUGACAUUUGCUUAAAAGGUGCACUUGCAUCACUACCAGAUGGACCUGCGUUGUAUUAGCUAGUUGGUGGGGUAAGGGCUCACCAAGGCGACGAUACAUAGCCGACCUGAGAGGGUGAUCGGCCACACUGGGACUGAGACACGGCCCAGACUCCUACGGGAGGCAGCAGUAGGGAAUCUUCGGCAAUGGACGGAAGUCUGACCGAGCAACGCCGCGUGAGUGAAGAAGGUUUUCGGAUCGUAAAGCUCUGUUGUAAGAGAAGAACGAGUGUGAGAGUGGAAAGUUCACACUGUGACGGUAUCUUACCAGAAAGGGACGGCUAACUAC